GCCGGGCUAGCUCAAUCGGUAGAGCGUGAGACUCUUAUUGCAGGCGUGCGAAAUCUCAAGGUUGUGGGUUCGACCCCCACGUUCGGCU